rnacentral:rRNA from 1 species
GAGUUUGAUGAUGGCUCUGAUUGAACGCUGCUCAAAUGCUUGACACAUGCUAAUCGUACGUUUUUUCAUAUAAUAAAGAUAACACUUUACGUAUGAAAAAAAGUGGUGUACAGGUGAGUAUAUAUAAUUUGUCUGCUUUAGAGUAAGGUAAAAUACCUUAUAAAACCAAAAGAAGAAAUUUGCUCUAAAAUGUUCAUUUAUUUAUAACGAGUAGGUAGUAAUUAAAGUAACUGUUUAAUUAGCCAAGGCUCGUAGUCGAAACUGAGAGGUUGAUCGACCACAUUGGGUCUGAAAAAACCCCAAUAUGUAUAGUACAGCAGUGAGGAAUAUUGGUCAAUGGUCUAACGACUGAACCAGCAACUUGAGAGGGAAGCAAAGAUGAAAAUAAAAAUAUUUUCUAGUAACCCUAAAUGGAACAUGAUAAAUGACAAGUUUUUAAAGUUAAAUGUAACGCUUAAAGCGUGCCAUGUUAAAAAUGGUCUUUAUAUUUAUAGUGUCUUGGCCAAAUCUUGUGCCAGCAGUCGCGGUAAGACAAGAGAGACUAGCGUUUUUCAUCUUUAUUAGGUUUAAAGGGUACCUAGACGGUUUAUUUAGCCUUUAUAAGGAAACAAAUUAAACUAGAGUUAAAUGUGGGAGGUAAAUUUAGUAUUGAAAGAGAAGGGAUGAAAUUUUUUUAUACUUUCGAGACUGAUAAUGGUGAAAACAAUCCUCUAUGUACUAACUGACGUUAAGGGACGAAGGCAUGGUUAUCGAAUAGGAUUAGAUACCCUAAUAGUCCAUGCAGAAAAUGAUGAAUGUCAUAAAUAUUAAGUCUGAUUUAUACUAGUAAAUUAGUUUGAUGUUUAUAAAUGAAAGUGUAAGCAUUCCACCUCAAGAGUACUACGGCAACGUAUAAACUGAAAUCAUUAGACCGUUUCUGAAACCAGUAGUGAAGUAUGUUAUUUAAUUCGAUAACCCUCGAAAAACCUUACCUCAAUUUGAAUUAUAAUGUUAAAACAUUAUAACAAGCGUUGCACGGCUGUCUUCAGUUAAUGUCGUGAGAUCUGGUUAACCCCUUUAAUUAACGCAAGCCCUUUAUUUAUUUAUAAGACAAAAAUAAAUAGUUAAUAUUAUAAUGAUAUAUCUCUUUAGUGUCAUAUAGCGUAUGCUAUAGGCAAACACGAUAAGUGUUAGAGAAUUUUUUAGGGACUAAGACAAGUCAUCAUGACCUUAACUUAAUUGUGGGCUAUAGACGUGCCACAUAAGCCUAAACAAAGGGAAGCAAUAAUGUGAAUUGGAGCUAAUCCCCAAAUUAGGAUAUACGUAGAUUGUAGUCUGAAACUCGACUAUAUGAAAAUGGAAUUACUAGUAAUCGUGAAUCAGCAUGUCACGGUGAAUUUUAUCUC